AUUAAAAUUAAUUGAUAUUUUCAACAAGCAAGCCACGACACGUUUGUUGAGUUGUAAUAAAAACAAGGAUCGUACUGAUGGAAUUAUAUUUAGAGUAGUAUGACAACGGGAGAUUUGCCAGGCUCUAUCGGAUCAGCAGAAAAAAAAAAACGAAAUGGACAUUCCAAAGCGCGCGAUGGGCUGUGCGAGAUGUUUCAAGCUUUUCCGUUAAAAGAGUGGUGAAGUACACCAAGAGGAGAAAAAAGUUCCGUAAAAUUCCCGCAGAGCUAAACUACAAGCAUCCAACCAACGACAAACAGCUGGGAGAACAGAAUAUCGGUUUCUGAAUACUGCCGGAGCAGAGAUGGGCCGGAAGCUCGUUAGGCAGCAAAAGGAGAUAAUGCUGAAACCCAUUUGAUCACCAAGGACAAGGAAACCGUUAAAGCCGAAAUAGGAACUGAGAUUUUCAAGAAACGGUGAAGAUUCUCUGUUGGGUGUUUAUGGCGGCGUCCACAGUUUUCAUACACGCUGCGAGUUUUUGUUGAAGCUUCGUCCUUAAACGAUUAGCAUUCGCAAGCAGCUAAUCGUAGGC